CACGUAGGGGGCGAGCGUUGUCCGGAUUUAUUGGGCGUAAAGAGCUCGUAGGCGGCUUGGUAAGUCAGGUGUGAAACCUCCAGGCUCAACCUGGAGACGCCACUUGAUACUGCCAUGCUAGAGUCCGGUAGGGGGAGCGUGGAAUUUUCUGGGUGUAGCGGUGAAAUGCGCAGAUAUCAGAAGGAACACCAGCGGCGAAAGGCGGCGCUCUGGGCCGGAACUGACGCUGAGGAGCGAAAGCGUGGGGAGCGAACAGG
rnacentral:rRNA from 1 species